GGCUAGUUUCGCCCCUGGAUAUAGCUCUUAUAGCAGAUACCAUUUAGUGUUACUCAUAAUUAGACUUAAAAUAGAGUUAAUUUGUUUAUUUUGCGUUCGUGGCGAAGAGUUUUCAAACGUUUUCACCCGUUUUCAAAAUUACGUGAUGAAGGACGAAAAUGCAUGCUAGAGUUGACAUGUCAGUUUUAUGUCAUUCGGUCACGAAGUUUAAACUUUGAGUUUUGCGGUUCCUUGUCGAUGCUUUGCUUAUAUGCUUUGUAUAAACAGGCUUACAAUGAUUUCAAGAUACUUUUUAGUGGGAAUUAUUGCAAAAUUUAAGCACAAACAAAAUCAUAACAUCACCGUUCUAGCGCGCGCGUUUUAUACUAACAGCUUUUUAUUCCAGGAUAAAUUGCAACCACGAGGUUGGAUAAAUUGUUAUUUUUCAAACUUUAAAAGUUAUUCACGACACAUAUUUCUGUUGUGAUGGUUUGUAUUGUGCUUGUAUCUAACUC
rnacentral:lncRNA from 1 species